CCCGCUGCCCCACUCUGGCCCGUGGCUCCAGGGCUGGCCUGGCCUCAACUGUGGCUUCCUGUCACGUGGGUCAUCUGCUUGGAGCCAGUGGAGGGCAGAGGGCAACAGUGUUAGAGCAGCUCCUUUGGCACCCGCCAUUCAGUAGGUCCUGAGUUCUUGUCCUGCAUCCAAGAAGAAUGAUGUUACGUGGACAACCAGAGGGACCCGGAAGCCCUCACCUCCAGUUGUCCCGCCUUACCGGAUCCAACCAAUGUACAGCUGACACAUAUUGAUUGAUGUCUCAUGUCUCCCUGAAAUGUAUAAAAGCAAGCUGUACCACGACCACCUUGGGCACAUGUCCUCAGUACCUCCUGAGGCUGCGUCUUGGGCGCGUCCUUAACCAUGGCAAAAUAAACUUUCUAAAUUGACUGAGACCUUUCUCAGAUAUUUUGGGUUCACACAGGCAAGGCAGAGAAAGGUGAACAGUUUGGGAUUU
rnacentral:lncRNA from 1 species